rnacentral:lncRNA from 1 species
GAGAAGAUCCAGAUCCAACUCAGAUUACGAUUCUCCUUCUCCUGUACGACGGAGAAUUCAUUCUCCAUUCUAUCGCCGACGCAGAACACCCUCUCCUGUUAAAAGACGUAGAUCGCCUUCUCCAGUGCGUCGGCGCAGAUCACCUUCUCCGGUGCGCCGACGUAGAUCACCUUCUCCAAUGCGGCGACGUAGAUCACCUUCUACUGUGCGAAGGCGUAGAUCACCAUCACCUAUUAGACGGCGAAGGUCACCCUCACCCAUGCGGCGAAGAACUCCUGUUAUGCGGCAUAGGUCACCUUCACCUGUGCGCCGGAUACCACCAAGGCGCAGAUCAGGCUCUCCCAUGCAAUCUCCCUCUCCCACAACGCGAAGAUA